UAAAAUAGUGCGAGAAAAAACAAAAGUGACAAGAAAGUGCCAGUGCUCAAUUUUAAAAUUAAAAACUGCAUAUUAGAUGAUAUAAAGUGUGUAUGUCCUUCUGUCAUGAUUGAAAAACUGAAAUAACUUUUUGACAAAACUCCUGAGGAUGCCGAUGAGGCGAAACAUGUCGAGUUGAUUUUAAAAUAAAUUUUAACAAUCCAUGAGUAAAUCCUUACUCUUCAUUCCAUAUUCAAAAUAUGGAUUUUUGUCGACAAUUUUUGAACUUGAAAUUAAUUUUUUUUUUCAUUGAAUACCCGUUA